UGGCAAAAAGCGGGAGUUGUUGCUGAACCGAAAAUCAAAUUCACCACAACAACAGUAUGGUUUAGGGUUUAAGUGUUUUUCAAUGCUUCUUUAUAGCAUUGUCUAUUUUACUAAUUACAGCUACCGCAACCAUCACGUCCCCCAUAGAAUACCUUCAUACACAGCUCCAUCUCUAAUAUAAUUAUAUGGUGGCAAUCAUUCAUUGAUUUAGGUCAAAAAUCAUCCCAAAAAAUAGUCAUGUUCUUAGGAAUAGGAUGCAUCAAGGAAGCAACAGAGAUAUUUUUAUGGGCUCUAGGUAUUUAUUUACAUAUUAUUAUAGAUCUCGAAUGCAUAAUGUGCGUUUUUUUACCCUAGUAUGUUGUUCCUAUUACCUGAUUUCCUUUGUCUUAUUAUUUAGACAUAGUAGAGCCCUAAGUUUUCUGGAUUUUGCCCUAGGGAUAAAUGCUGUAAUUCUAAUGCAUUUUAUAAAAUUAACGGACAGUGGAAAAAAUCUGAAAGA
rnacentral:lncRNA from 1 species